AUUUGAAUAGUUACAAAACAACUAAAAUUUUAAUAAAUCAACAAUUCCAAUUUAGUUAUAUAAUUAUAACUUUAUUUUUCUUAAUCUUAGGAAGAUUGUGAAUGAAUUUACUUGUUCCGUAGUCAUUUGUAUCUAAACCGAAACAUAUAGUAAAAAAAAACUAAAUAUUAGGAAUUAGUAAAUCAGAGUAUUUCGGUUGGAAUAUUGUGAAUGAAUUUACUUGUUCCGUAGUCAUUUGUAUCUAAACCGAAACAUAUAGUAAAAAAAAAACUAAAUAUUAGGAAUUAGUAAAUCAGAGUAUUUCGGUUGGAAUGUCACGUAAGAUGAUAACUCGAAUAAUACUGAAAGUCUGUAUAGUAACUAAUUAUUUAAAUAUUCUAUUAUAUCAUUACUCAAAAGUUAGUUAUAGGAUGACAAAAAGUUUCCUUUUAGUAUUGUUAUGAUUUCAACGUCAAAAGCCAAAAAC